GAUGAAGAACGUAGUGAAAUGCGAUACGUAGUGUGAAUUGCAGAAUUCAGUGAAUCAUCGAAUCUUUGAACGCACAUUGCACCUCUCGGUAUUCCGGGAGGUAUGCCUGUUCGAGCGUCAUUUGUACCCUCAAGCUCUGCUUGGUGUUGGGUGUUUGUUCCGCCUCUGUGUGUGAACUCGCCUCAAAACAAUUGGCAGCCGGCGUACUUGUUUCGGAGCGCAGCACAUUUUGCGAUCCAGAUCAACGUACAGCGGCAUCCAAGAAGCCUUAUUUAACGCUCUUGACCUCGGAUCAGGUAGGGAUACCCGCUGAACUUAAGCAUAUAAUAAGCGGAGGA
rnacentral:misc_RNA from 1 species